UAUUUACUUUGAAAGCAUUAUGGUAAAAUUUAAAUAGUACAAAGAUUAGUAUAACCCCUGUGCAAGAAUGUCAUACAUGUUCAUAAAGCAUUUCCUUUUUUA